AACGAACGCUGGCGGCAGGCUUAACACAUGCAAGUCGAGCGCCCCGCAAGGGGAGCGGCAGACGGGUGAGUAACGCGUGGGAAUCUACCCAUCUCUACGGAAUAACGCAUGGAAACGUGUGCCAAUACCGUAUACGUCCUUCGGGAGAAAGAUUUAUCGGAGAUGGGUGAGCCCGCGUUGGAUUAGCUAGUUGGUGGGGUAAAGGCCUACCAAGGCGACGAUCCAUAGCUGGUCUGAGAGGGUGAUCAGCCACACUGGGACUGAGACACGGCCGAGACUCCUAGGGGAGGCAGCAGUGGGGAAUAUUGGACAAUGGGCGCAAGCCUGAUCCAGCCAUGCCGCGUGGGUGAUGAAGGCCCUAGGGUUGUAAAGCUCUUUCACCGGUGAAGAUAAUGACGGUAACCGGAGAAGAAGCCCCGGCUAACUUCGUGCCUGCCGCCGCGGUAAAAC
rnacentral:rRNA from 1 species